AGUCUUCUUAAUCUAUGCCGAGAUUUCGUCAAACACCAAACCGUCAGUACCGACGAGACUCAAGAUAAGUGAAGCG
rfam:Schistosoma rodhaini strain Burundi genome assembly, scaffold: SROB_scaffold0007821